UAGCAUAACUGGGAGCGCUCCUGGCUGGCAUUCAGGAGGUGUGGGUUCAAGUCCCAC
rnacentral:tRNA from 1 species